rnacentral:rRNA from 1 species
AUUGAACGCUGGCGGCAGGCUUAACACAUGCAAGUCGAGCGGGGGAAGGUAGCUUGCUACCGGACCUAGCGGCGGACGGGUGAGUAAUGCUUAGGAAUCUGCCUAUUAGUGGGGGACAACAUCUCGAAAGGGAUGCUAAUACCGCAUACGUCCUACGGGAGAAAGCAGGGGAUCUUCGGACCUUGCGCUAAUAGAUGAGCCUAAGUCGGAUUAGCUAGUUGGUGGGGUAAAGGCCUACCAAGGCGACGAUCUGUAGCGGGUCUGAGAGGAUGAUCCGCCACACUGGGACUGAGACACGGCCCAGACUCCUACGGGAGGCAGCAGUGGGGAAUAUUGGACAAGGGGGGGAACCCUGAUCCAGCCAUGCCGCGUGUGUGAAGAAGGCCUUAUGGUUGUAAAGCACUUUAAGCGAGGAGGAGGCUACUUUAGUUAAUACCUAGAGAUAGUGGACGUUACUCGCAGAAUAAGCACCGGCUAACUCUGUG